rnacentral:rRNA from 1 species
CAGCAGCCGCGGUAAUACGAAGGGGGCUAGCGUUGUUCGGAAUUACUGGGCGUAAAGCGCACGUAGGCGGAUUUUUAAGUCAGGGGUGAAAUCCCGAGGCUCAGCCUCGGAACUGCCUUUGAUACUGGAGAUCUUGAGUUCGGAAGAGGUUGGUGGAACAGCUAGUGUAGAGGUGAAAUUCGAAGAUAUUAGCUAGAACACCAGUGGCGAAGGCGGCCAACUGGUCCGAUACUGACGCUGAGGUGCGAAAGCGUGGGGAGCAAACAGGAUUAGAUACCCGAGUAGUCCCUGUCUCUUAUAC